rnacentral:rRNA from 1 species
AAAGCGUGCGCAGGCGGUUAUGCAAGACAGAUGUGAAAUCCCCGGGCUCAACCUGGGAACUGCAUUUGUGACUGCAUAGCUAGAGUACGGUAGAGGGGGAUGGAAUUCCGCGUGUAGCAGUGAAAUGCGUAGAUAUGCGGAGGAACACCGAUGGCGAAGGCAAUCCCCUGGACCUGUACUGACGCUCAUGCACGAAAGCGUGGGGAGCAAACAGGAUUAGAUACCCCGGU